GGAAAUGAUGUGGAAUGGUAUUGUGCUUCUACUAGGAACGUUAUCGGGUGAUAUUAUUUAUACCCAUUACACUGGGCGUCUCCAUGGAAACUCCAGACAUUUGUGUUGCUUGGUAACCAAAGUCACUUGACUGAAUGAAGAAGUGUGAAAGUUUCUGACAGAAGAGUAAAAGUUAAUUGUUGGUGUGGAUUCUGGGAUUCUGGAUGGGCAGCAGUAUAAGGAUUCUGGAUGGUGAGAGGUUAGGAUCAGGAUCUGGAUGGGCAGCAGUAUAAGGAUUCUGGAUGGUGAGAGGUUAGGAUCAGGAUCUGGAUGGGCAGCAGUAUAAGGAUUCUGGAUGGUGAGAGGUUAGGAUCAGGAUCUGGAUGGGCAGCAGUAUAAGGAUUCUGGAUGGUGAGAGGUUAGGAUCAGGAUCUGGAUGGGCAGCAGUAUAAGGAUUCUGGAUGGUGAGAGGUUAGGAUCAGGAUCUGGAUGGGCAGCAGUAUAAGGAUUCUGGAUGGUGAGAGGUUAGGAUUAGGAUCUGGAUGGGCAGCAGUAUAAGGAUUCUGGAUGGUGAGAGGUUAGGAUCAGGAUCAGGAUGGGCAGCAGUAUAAAGAUUCUGGAUGGUGAGAGGUUAGGAUCAGGAUGGGCAGUAGUAUAAGGAUUCUGGAUGGUGAGAGGUUAGGAUCAGGAUCAGGAUGGGCAGCAGUAUAAGGAUUCUGGAUGGUGAGAGGUUAGGAUCAGGAUCAGGAUGGGCAGCAGUAUAAGGAUUCUGGAUGGUGAGAGGUUAGGAUCAGGAUCUGGAUGGGCAGCAGUAUAAGGAUUCUGGAUGGUGAGAGGUUAGGAUCAGGAUCUGGAUGGGCAGCAGUAUAAGGAUUCUGGAUGGUGAGAGGUUAGGAUCAGGAUCAGGAUGGGCAGCAGUAUAAAGAUUCUGGAUGGUGAGAGGUUAGGAUCAGGAUGGGCAGUAGUAUAAGGAUUCUGGAUGGUGAGAGGUUAGGAUCAGGAUCAGGAUGGGCAGCAGUAUAAGGAUUCUGGAUGGUGAGAGGUUAGGAUCAGGAUCAGGAUGGGCAGCAGUAUAAAGAUUCUGGAUGGUGAGAGGUUAGGAUCUGGAUGGGUAGCAGUAUAAGGAUUCUGGAUGGUGAGAGGUUAGGAUCAGGAUCAGGAUGGGCAGCAGUAUAAAGAUUCUGGAUGGUGAGAGGUUAGGAUCAGGAUGGGCAGCAGUAUAAGGAUUCUGGAUGGUGAGAGGUUAGGAUCAGGAUCAGGAUGGGCAGCAGUAUAAGGAUUCUGGAUGGUGAGAGGUUAGGAUCAGGAUCAGGAUGGGCAGCAGUAUAAAGAUUCUGGAUGGUGAGAGGUUAGGAUCAGGAUGGGCAGCAGUAUAAGGAUUCUGGAUGGUGAGAGGUUAGGAUCAGGAUCAGGAUGGGCAGCAGUAUAAGGAUUCUGGAUGGUGAGAGGUUAGGAUCAGGAUCAGGAUGGGCAGCAGUAUAAGGAUUCUGGAUGGUGAGAGGUUAGGAUCAGGAUGGGCAGCAGUAUAAGGAUUCUGGAUGGUGAGAGGUUAGGAUCAGGAUCAGGAUGGGCAGCAGUAUAAGGAUUCUGGAUGGUGAGAGGUUAGGAUCAGGAUCAGGAUGGGCAGCAGUAUAAGGAUUCUGGAUGGUGAGAGGUUAGGAUCAGGAUCUGGAUGGGCAGCAGUAUAAGGAUUCUGGAUGGUGAGAGGUUAGGAUCAGGAUCUGGAUGGGCAGCAGUAUAAGGAUUCUGGAUGGUGAGAGGUUAGGAUUAGGAUCAGGAUGGGCAGCAGUAUAAGGAUUCUGGAUGGUGAGAGGUUAGGAUCAGGAUCUGGAUGGGCAGCAGUAUAAGGAUUCUGGAUGGUGAGAGGUUAGGAUCAGGAUCUGGAUGGGCAGCAGUAUAUGGAUUCUGGAUGGUGAGAGGUUAGGAUCAGGAUCAGGAUGGGCAGCAGUAUAAGGAUUCUGGAUGGUGAGAGGUUAGGAUCAGGAUCUGGAUGGGCAGCAGUAUAGGGAUUCUGGCUGGUGAGAGGUUAGGAUCAGGAUGGGCAGCAGUAUAAGGAUUCUGGAUGGUGAGAGGUUAGGAUCAGGAUCAGGAUGGGCAGCAGUAUAAGGAUUCUGGCUGGUGAGAGAUUAGGAUCAGGAUGGGCAGCAGUAUAAGGAUUCUGGAUGGUGAGAGGUUAGGAUCAGGAUCAGGAUGGGCAGCAGUAUAAAGAUUCUGGAUGGUGAGAGGUUAGGAUCAGGAUGGGCAGCAGUAUAAGGAUUCUGGAUGGUGAGAGGUUAGGAUCAGGAUCAGGAUGGGCAGCAGUAUAAGGAUUCUGGAUGGUGAGAGGUUAGGAUCAGGAUCAGGAUGGGCAGCAGUAUAAGGAUUCUGGAUGGUGAGAGGUUAGGAUCAGGAUCUGGAUGGGCAGCAGUAUAAGGAUUCUGGAUGGUGAGAGGUUAGGAUCAGGAUCAGGAUGGGCAGCAGUAUAAAGAUUCUGGAUGGUGAGAGGUUAGGAUCAGGAUGGGCAGUAGUAUAAGGAUUCUGGAUGGUGAGAGGUUAGGAUCAGGAUCAGGAUGGGCAGCAGUAUAAGGAUUCUGGAUGGUGAGAGGUUAGGAUCAGGAUCAGGAUGGGCAGCAGUAUAAAGAUUCUGGAUGGUGAGAGGUUAGGAUCAGGAUGGGCAGUAGUAUAAGGAUUCUGGAUGGUGAGAGGUUAGGAUCAGGAUCAGGAUGGGCAGCAGUAUAAGGAUUCUGGAUGGUGAGAGGUUAGGAUCAGGAUCAGGAUGGGCAGCAGUAUAAGGAUUCUGGAUGGUGAGAGGUUAGGAUCAGGAUGGGCAGUAGUAUAAGGAUUCUGGAUGGUGAGAGGUUAGGAUCAGGAUCAGGAUGGGCAGCAGUAUAAGGAUUCUGGAUGGUGAGAGGUUAGGAUCAGGAUCAGGAUGGGCAGCAGUAUAAGGAUUCUGGAUGGUGAGAGGUUAGGAUCAGGAUCUGGAUGGGCAGCAGUAUAAGGAUUCUGGAUGGUGAGAGGUUAGGAUCAGGAUCUGGAUGGGCAGCAGUAUAAGGAUUCUGGAUGGUGAGAGGUUAGGAUUAGGAUCAGGAUGGGCAGCAGUAUAAGGAUUCUGGAUGGUGAGAGGUUAGGAUCAGGAUCAGGAUGGGCAGCAGUAUAAAGAUUCUGGAUGGUGAGAGGUUAGGAUCAGGAUGGGCAGUAGUAUAAGGAUUCUGGAUGGUGAGAGGUUAGGAUCAGGAUCAGGAUGGGCAGCAGUAUAAGGAUUCUGGAUGGUGAGAGGUUAGGAUCAGGAUCAGGAUGGGCAGCAGUAUAAAGAUUCUGGAUGGUGAGAGGUUAGGAUCAGGAUGGGCAGUAGUAUAAGGAUUCUGGAUGGUGAGAGGUUAGGAUCAGGAUCAGGAUGGGCAGCAGUAUAAGGAUUCUGGAUGGUGAGAGGUUAGGAUCAGGAUCAGGAUGGGCAGCAGUAUAAGGAUUCUGGAUGGUGAGAGGUUAGGAUCAGGAUCUGGAUGGGCAGCAGUAUAAGGAUUCUGGAUGGUGAGAGGUUAGGAUCAGGAUCAGGAUGGGCAGCAGUAUAAAGAUUCUGGAUGGUGAGAGGUUAGGAUCAGGAUGGGCAGUAGUAUAAGGAUUCUGGAUGGUGAGAGGUUAGGAUCAGGAUCAGGAUGGGCAGCAGUAUAAGGAUUCUGGAUGGUGAGAGGUUAGGAUCAGGAUGUGCAGCAGUAUAAGGAUUCUGGAUGGUGAGAGGUUAGGAUCAGGAUCUGGAUGGGCAGCAGUAUAAGGAUUCUGGAUGGUGAGAGGUUAGGAUCAGGAUCUGGAUGGGCAGCAGUAUAAGGAUUCUGGAUGGUGAGAGGUUAGGAUCAGGAUCAGGAUGGGCAGCAGUAUAAGGAUUCUGGAUGGUGAGAGGUUAGGAUCAGGAUGGGCAGCAAUAUAAGGAUUCUGGAUGGUGAGAGGUUAGGAUCAGGAUCUGGAUGGGCAGCAGUAUAAGGAUUCUGGAUGGUGAGAGGUUAGGAUCAGGAUCAGGAUGGGCAGCAGUAUAAGGAUUCUGGAUGGUGAGAGGUUAGGAUCAGGAUCUGGAUGGGCAGCAGUAUAAGGAUUCUGGAUGGUGAGAGGUUAGGAUCAGGAUCUGGAUGGGUAGCAGUAUAAGGAUUCUGGAUGGUGAGAGGUUAGGAUCAGGAUGGGCAGCAGUAUAAGGAUUCUGGAUGGUGAGAGGUUAGGAUCAGGAUCUGGAUGGGCAGCAGUAUAAGGAUUCUGGAUGGUGAGAGGUUAGGAUCAGGAUCUGGAUGGGCAGCAGUAUAAGGAUUCUGGAUGGUGAGAGGUUAGGAUUAGGAUCUGGAUGGGCAGCAGUAUAAGGAUUCUGGAUGGUGAGAGGUUAGGAUCAGGAUCUGGAUGGGCAGCAGUAUAAGGAUUCUGGAUGGUGAGAGGUUAGGAUCAGGAUCUGGAUGGGCAGCAGUAUAAGGAUUCUGGCUGGUGAGAGGUUAGGAUCAGGAUCAGGAUGGGCAGCAGUAUAAGGAUUCUGGAUGGUGAGAGGUUAGGAUCAGGAUCUGGAUGGGCAGCAGUAUAGGGAUUCUGGCUGGUGAGAGGUUAGGAUCAGGAUCUGGAUGGGCAGCAGUAUAAGGAUUCUGGAUGGUGAGAGGUUAGGAUCAGGAUCAGGAUGGGCAGCAGUAUAAGGAUUCUGGCUGGUGAGAGAUUAGGAUCAGGAUCAGGAUGGGCAGCAGUAUAAGAAUUCUGGCUGGUGAGAGGUUAGGAUUAGGAUCUGGAUGGGCAGCAGUAUAAGGAUUCUGGAUGGUGAGAGGUUAGGAUCAGGAUCAGGAUGGGCAGCAGUAUAAGAAUUCUGGCUGGUGAGAGAUUAGGAUCAGGAUCUGGAUGGGUAGCAGUAUAAGGAUUCUGGCUGGUGAGAGGUCAGGAUCAGGAUGGGCAGUAGUAUAAGGAUUCUGGAUGGUGAGAGGUUAGGAUCAGGAUCUGGAUGGGCAGCAGUAUAAGGAUUCUGGAUGGUGAGAGGUUAGGAUCAGGAUCAGGAUGGGCAGCAGUAUAAGGAUUCUGGCUGGUGAGAGAUUAGGAUCAGGAUCAGGAUGGGCAGCAGUAUAAGAAUUCUGGCUGGUGAGAGGUUAGGAUUAGGAUCUGGAUGGGCAGCAGUAUAAGGAUUCUGGAUGGUGAGAGGUUAGGAUCAGGAUCAGGAUGGGCAGCAGUAUAAAGAUUCUGGAUGGUGAGAGGUUAGGAUCAGGAUGGGCAGUAGUAUAAGGAUUCUGGAUGGUGAGAGGUUAGGAUCAGGAUCAGGAUGGGCAGCAGUAUAAGGAUUCUGGAUGGUGAGAGGUUAGGAUCAGGAUCAGGAUGGGCAGCAGUAUAAGGAUUCUGGAUGGUGAGAGGUUAGGAUCAGGAUCUGGAUGGGCAGCAGUAUAAGGAUUCUGGAUGGUGAGAGGUUAGGAUCAGGAUCUGGAUGGGCAGCAGUAUAAGGAUUCUGGAUGGUGAGAGGUUAGGAUCAGGAUCAGGAUGGGCAGCAGUAUAAAGAUUCUGGAUGGUGAGAGGUUAGGAUCAGGAUGGGCAGUAGUAUAAGGAUUCUGGAUGGUGAGAGGUUAGGAUCAGGAUCAGGAUGGGCAGCAGUAUAAGGAUUCUGGAUGGUGAGAGGUUAGGAUCAGGAUCAGGAUGGGCAGCAGUAUAAAGAUUCUGGAUGGUGAGAGGUUAGGAUCUGGAUGGGUAGCAGUAUAAGGAUUCUGGAUGGUGAGAGGUUAGGAUCAGGAUCAGGAUGGGCAGCAGUAUAAGGAUUCUGGAUGGUGAGAGGUUAGGAUCAGGAUGGGCAGCAGUAUAAGGAUUCUGGAUGGUGAGAGGUUAGGAUCAGGAUCAGGAUGGGCAGCAGUAUAAGGAUUCUGGAUGGUGAGAGGUUAGGAUCAGGAUCAGGAUGGGCAGCAGUAUAAAGAUUCUGGAUGGUGAGAGGUUAGGAUCAGGAUGGGCAGCAGUAUAAGGAUUCUGGAUGGUGAGAGGUUAGGAUCAGGAUCAGGAUGGGCAGCAGUAUAAGGAUUCUGGAUGGUGAGAGGUUAGGAUCAGGAUCAGGAUGGGCAGCAGUAUAAGGAUUCUGGAUGGUGAGAGGUUAGGAUCAGGAUGGGCAGCAGUAUAAGGAUUCUGGAUGGUGAGAGGUUAGGAUCAGGAUCAGGAUGGGCAGCAGUAUAAGGAUUCUGGAUGGUGAGAGGUUAGGAUCAGGAUCAGGAUGGGCAGCAGUAUAAGGAUUCUGGAUGGUGAGAGGUUAGGAUCAGGAUCUGGAUGGGCAGCAGUAUAAGGAUUCUGGAUGGUGAGAGGUUAGGAUCAGGAUCUGGAUGGGCAGCAGUAUAAGGAUUCUGGAUGGUGAGAGGUUAGGAUUAGGAUCAGGAUGGGCAGCAGUAUAAGGAUUCUGGAUGGUGAGAGGUUAGGAUCAGGAUCUGGAUGGGCAGCAGUAUAAGGAUUCUGGAUGGUGAGAGGUUAGGAUCAGGAUCUGGAUGGGCAGCAGUAUAUGGAUUCUGGAUGGUGAGAGGUUAGGAUCAGGAUCAGGAUGGGCAGCAGUAUAAGGAUUCUGGAUGGUGAGAGGUUAGGAUCAGGAUCUGGAUGGGCAGCAGUAUAGGGAUUCUGGCUGGUGAGAGGUUAGGAUCAGGAUGGGCAGCAGUAUAAGGAUUCUGGAUGGUGAGAGGUUAGGAUCAGGAUCAGGAUGGGCAGCAGUAUAAGGAUUCUGGCUGGUGAGAGGUUAGGAUCAGGAUGGGCAGCAGUAUAAGGAUUCUGGAUGGUGAGAGGUUAGGAUCAGGAUCAGGAUGGGCAGCAGUAUAAAGAUUCUGGAUGGUGAGAGGUUAGGAUCAGGAUGGGCAGCAGUAUAAGGAUUCUGGAUGGUGAGAGGUUAGGAUCAGGAUCAGGAUGGGCAGCAGUAUAAGGAUUCUGGAUGGUGAGAGGUUAGGAUCAGGAUCAGGAUGGGCAGCAGUAUAAGGAUUCUGGAUGGUGAGAGGUUAGGAUCAGGAUCUGGAUGGGCAGCAGUAUAAGGAUUCUGGAUGGUGAGAGGUUAGGAUCAGGAUCAGGAUGGGCAGCAGUAUAAGGAUUCUGGAUGGUGAGAGGUUAGGAUCAGGAUCAGGAUGGGCAGCAGUAUAAGGAUUCUGGAUGGUGAGAGGUUAGGAUCAGGAUCAGGAUGGGCAGCAGUAUAAGGAUUCUGGAUGGUGAGAGGUUAGGAUCAGGAUGGGCAGUAGUAUAAGGAUUCUGGAUGGUGAGAGGUUAGGAUCAGGAUCAGGAUGGGCAGCAGUAUAAGGAUUCUGGAUGGUGAGAGGUUAGGAUCAGGAUCAGGAUGGGCAGCAGUAUAAGGAUUCUGGAUGGUGAGAGGUUAGGAUCAGGAUGGGCAGCAGUAUAAGGAUUCUGGAUGGUGAGAGGUUAGGAUCAGGAUCAGGAUGGGCAGCAGUAUAAGGAUUCUGGAUGGUGAGAGGUUAGGAUCAGGAUCAGGAUGGGCAGCAGUAUAAGGAUUCUGGAUGGUGAGAGGUUAGGAUCAGGAUCUG